rnacentral:rRNA from 1 species
UAAACAAUGAGUUUGAUCCUGGCUCAGGAUGAACGCUAGCGAUAUGCUUUACACAUGCAAGUUGAACGAAAUUAAAUUUAUUUUCGUAGCGAACGGGUGAGUAAUAUACAAGAAUUUGCCUUUAGGAAGGGGAUAAGAUAAACAAUCAGUAAUACCCUAUAAGCUUUUAUAAGAUGUAAAAGUUAAAGAAACAUUGUUUUACCUUAAGAAAAGCUUGUAUCUGAUUAGUUUGUUGGUAAGGUAAAGGCUUACCAAGACGAUGAUCAGUAGUUGAUUUGAGAGAAUGAUCAGCCACAUUGGAAUUGAGAUACGGUCCAAACUUCUACGGAAGGCAGCAGUGAGGAAUUUUCUGCAAUGGGCUAACGCCUGACAGAGCGAUAUCGCGUGAGGGAUGAAGGCUUGCGAGUUGUAAACCUCUUUUUUCAGAAAUGAUUUUGACCUAUACUGACGAAUAAGCAUCGGCUAAUUCCGUGCCAGCAGCCGCGGUAAAACGGGAGAUGCAAGUGUUAUCCGAAUUUAUUGGGCGUAAAGCGUUUGUAGGUUGUUUUUUAAGUCUAUAUGUAAAAGGUUGAAGCUUAACUUCAAAAAAGCAAUAGAAACGAAAAAACUAGAGUAUAUAUAUACUAUUAGAAUAUGUUAAUUAAAAAUUAAAAUUUUUUUUACUAGUAUCUUAUGUAAAUGUUUUAAUUUUAAUCAAUGUUUUUCUUUUUAUAAAAUUAUGUUAAUAAACAUAUUUUUGUAUAUAGUUAGAGGUAUUUGGAAUUUUUAGUGAAGCGAUGAAAUGCGUAGAUAUUAAAAGGACCACCAAUAGCGAAAGCAAUUUACUGGGACAUUACUGACAUUGAGAGACGAAAGCUGAGGGAGCAAAUGGGAUUAGAUACCCCAGUAGUCUUAGCUGUAAACGAUGGAUAUUAAAUUUUGGAUUUUUUUUAUUUGGUAAAAAAAUUUCAGUUUUAAAGCUAACGCGUUAAAUAUCCCGCCUGGGAAGUAUGCUCGCAAGAGUUAAACUUAAAGGAAUUGACGAGGGUCUGCACAAGCGGUGGAGCAUGUGGUUUAAUUUGAUGCAACGCAAAGAACCUUACCAGAAUUUGACAUAUUAUUACAUUACUCUUUUUAUAAUUAAAAAGUGUUUAUUUUUUACGUUUUUUACAGGUGGUGCAUGGCUGUCGUCAGCUCGUGUCGUGAGAUGUCGGAUUAAGUUCCAUAACGAGCGCAACCCUUAUUUUUAGUUAUUUAUCUAAAAAAACCACUAAUUAUACGUUAGAUGCAGAAAAGGAUGACGUCAAGUCAGCAUGCCCCUUAUAUUCUGGGCUACACACGUGCUACAUUGAAUAAUAAAAUAAGUUGCAAUCUUGUAAAAGUGAGCUAAUCUAAAAAAUUAUUCGUAAUUCAGAUUAUAGACUGCAACUCGUCUAUAUGAAGUUGGAAUCGCUAGUAAUCGCUGGUCAGCAAUACAGCGGUGAAUACGUUCCCAGACCUUGUACACACCGCCCGUCACAUCAUGGAAGCAUAUUCAAUCUGAAAACAAUUAUUUUAACCUUUUAGGAGAAAUUUGUUUACGAUUAAAUGAGUAACUGGGGUGAAGUCGUAACAAGGUAGCCCUACUGGAAGGUGGGGCUGGAUUAAAUUUUAA